GGAUGAGAUUAAAAUUUGGCUGCAACAUUUAUUGCCUCACUAAUUCCCAGGGUUGAUUUGGCCGAUGCUGCUGGCCAGGCAGAUAUGUCCUUCCUCCUCUACUGAACCAUGCACAUCACUCCCAAGCUGUACACUUGGUGGAAGGUAGAAGAAGUGUAACAUUCUUUGGACAAGGCUCAAGCAAUGUAACAUGGAUAUUGUUG
rnacentral:snRNA from 1 species